CCGCGGUGCCAGGGAAGCCGCGCAGUGGGCUCAACCUCACCCUGUCAGCUGAAAGUCUCAAGAGAAGAGAACUGAACAGAGCCUGGGGUCAAGGUGUCUUCAGCCUCCCGGGGACUUCACAGGAGCCAUUCAGGGCCAUCAGUGGGUGGGGACUAGAGGAUUCUAAGGAUACCCAGGUCCCCACAGUCAGGGCGUGUGACGAGGCUGGCAGGGGCUGCUCUGCAGUUCUGCUUGUAACCCCCCAGCGCCUCGCCACCGUCUCCCAGGUCCCAGGCAUGAGUCAGAGCAGGUGCGGUGGAGAAGCAGCAUCCUAGCUGCACCACGGGCGCCACCUGCUGUCACACCCUCUACUCUCAACGGCCAGCUCCCACGUGGGCACAGCUGGCCUCCAGACACCUCCCUUCACAGCCCUCUGAAGGCUCCCUCCCCCUGCUCUGGUGGAGCCCAUCCUGCAGCCACUUCCUGCGACAGGGUGCGUGGAAGACACAUUUUGAGCACCGUGCCUAUCUGAGAAUGUCUAUUACACUCUCAUCCUUGAAUGAUAGCUGGGCUGGGUAUAGAAGUCUAGGCUAGGGCCAGGCGUGGUGGCUCACUCCUGUAAUCCCAGCACUUUGGGAGGCUGAGGCAGGUGGAUCACAAGAGACCAGGAGUUUGAGACCAGCCUGGCCAACAUGGUGAAACCCUGUCUCUAAUAAAAAUAUGAAACACUAGCCAGACAUGGUGGUGCAUGCCACCCAGCGACUCGGGAUGCUGAGGCAGGAGAAUCACUUCAGCCUAGGAGGUGGAGGCUACAGUGAACUGAGAUCACGCCACUGCACUCCAGCCUGGGCGACAGAGCAAGACUCCAUCUCAAAAAAAAAAGAAGUCUAGGCUGGAAGUCACUUUCCUCCAGCAUUUUGCAGGCAUUGCUUCAUCGUCUGUCUGUCUCCAGGGGCUGCUUCCACUUCUCAGGCCAUUCUGAGGCCCGUUUGAAGACGUAACAUGUGUCCAUGUGGAGAAUGUUCUGUUUGCCCUGUUCGCGGUGUUUUCCACAUUGUCGCGUCUUGGCUUGGGGAUGCUUGAGCUGGCAGUUUCUGAAAGACGAGUUAGAGAUAAAACUGAAAUAGGAGGCGACAUCUAGGAUCGACUUCAAAAUAAUCACGUCGGGAG
rnacentral:lncRNA from 10 species